AAUUGUUUUACAAUAAAUAUUAUAUAUAAAUAAAAAAGUUGAAAGUUGAAUGCUUUUAAGAAAUAGUUACAUGAAAUCACAAAUUGUAUGAGCUAUCAAAAUGGAUUGUUGGCUAGUAGGAUUUUUAUAAGAUCAAAUAUUCAGCAUAAAAUAAAAUUUCUUAUUGGAAUUUGAAAAUAUUAGAAGACGUAGGAAUUAUAAGUAAUUUUUUUAUGUUGAUUUAGCCAUUUGGAAAGAGUAUAAACAAAAAGUUUGUCUGUCUUCGUAAAAGCAGCCUUGUGACAAGUGUAAUUUUCUCUCACCUUUUCAAUAUCUUUGCAAUGUCAUCGCUUUUGUUUUUUUGUAUUUUUUUUCUCUUGCAUAGUUCACCAAGAGAGUAAGGAAGAAGAAAAAAGGGUUUCAAGAGGCGGUUUCUUAAGGAGGAUGAAGAGACGAGAAAAGUGAACAAGAAGAAGUUUAUAAUGGUUCAACACAUGGCCUACAUCUACUCUUCAAAGAAAUUGAAGCCCUCUUGUAGAAGAUAGUUCAUCAACAAAUCUCCAUCUUGAACUAUAUUCUUCAUGAAGCAAGGUGUCAUGGAUCGAAUUAAUGAGAAUAGAAACUUCACUUUCUACCUCCAACUUCUCCCCAGUUCGAUUAAGAAAGUUUCUUAAACUCAUCUAAAUUUUCAUCAAGACUCUUGUUCUGAUUCAUUUUAAAUGAAAAUAGCUUCUCCUAGGGGUGUAAUCGGGUUGGGUUGGAUUGGUUUGGGUUGAGAGACAUUCUCAAUCCAACCCAUAUUUUCGUGUUAUUUAGGUUGACAACCCGAAUUAAGUUUCCAACCCAACCCAACCCGUGAAAUAUGGGUUGGGUUGGGUUGGGUUGAUGGGUUAUUGUUCUUUUUUUUUUUAGAAAUAUGAGAUCGAAAACGGAGAGAUCUGAGAUCAGAGAUGGAGAGAUCGGAGACAGAAAGAUCUAAGAUCGAAGACGGAGAGAUCUAAGAUCAGAGAUGGAUUAUUUUUAUGCUUGACUAGGACGGAGGAGAUCGGAGAUGUUAGAGACGGAGGAGAUGUUGAAGGAGACAAAGGAGAUCUGAGAUCGGAGGAGACGAAGGAACUGAGAUCGGCCUGACGAAGGACACGAAGGAUGAGAGAGACCAUAUCGUAGAGCUUGGAAAAAUGAUUCUAACGCCUCUUGAAUCACCC